rnacentral:rRNA from 1 species
AAUGGCAGGUCAGCAUACUGCCGUGAAUACGUUCCCGGGCCUUGUACACACCGCCCGUCACACUAUGAGAGUUGGGAAUACCCGAAGCCUGUGAGCUAACAUUUAUGAGGCAGCAGUCGAAGGUAGAAUCAAUGAUUGGGGUGAAGUCGUAACAAGGUAAC